UACAGAGGGUGCAAGCGUUUAAUCGGAAUUACUGGGCGUAAAGCGUGCGUAGACGGUUAUGUAAGUUAGGUGUGAAAGCCCCGGGCUCAACCUGGGAAUUGCAUUUAAGACUGCAUAGCUAGGGUGCGGAAGAGGGAAGCGGAAUUUCCGGUGUAGCGGUGAAAUGCGUAGAUAUCGGAAGGAACAUCAGUGGCGAAAGCGGCUUCCUGGUCCAGCACCGACGUCAGGCACGAAAGCGUGGGGAGCAACAGG
rnacentral:rRNA from 1 species